AGAGAGAAAGAGAAGAGGGAGGAAGAGAGGAGAGAGAAAGAGAGUAGGGAGGAAGAGAGGAGAAAGAAAGAGAAGGAGAGAGAGAGAGAGAGAAAUUUAAAGAGAAAGAGAAGGAGAGAGAGAGAAAUUUAAAGAGAAAGAGAAGGAGAGAGAGAGAGAAAUUUAAAGAGAAAGAGAAGGAGAGAGAGAGAGAAAUUUAAAGAGAAAGAGAAGGAGAGAGAGUGAUUUACAGAGAAAGAGAAUGAGAUAUACAUAGAGAGAAAAGAGAAUACAAUCCUCCCUGUUCCUCAGAGUGAAGAGAGGAGAGAAGAAAGCCGCGCGAGGAAAGGGGAGGCGAAGGAAGCCUGGUGAUGGGUUCGCAGCCGACGCCUCAGGGGGUUUCAGCGCAGCAGCCAUACUCCGACUGUCCCUUCCCGUCUCCUUCCCUGAAACGCCUCCGUGCUCCGCCAGUCGCCCAGAUGCCUUUCUCUCGCCGGGAGCGGUGCGAGGCGGAGGAGGACGACUUCGAGGAUGUGCUCGUUUUAAUAUAAUAACAAAGUCUGGUGAAGCAGCUCUAAUAAGGGAAUGAACGAAACAGGAGUAGCCGUAGUAACGCCCCACUCCGCUCCUAACAGGA